rnacentral:rRNA from 1 species
GACGAACGCUGGCGGCGUGCUUAACACAUGCCAGUCGAACGGACAGGCCCUGCUCUUGCGGGGCGCUCGUGUGGCGCAAGGGUGAGUAAAACGUGAGUAAACUGCCCUUAACUUUGGGAUAAAUUUUGGAAAAUGGGGCUCUUAUCCGAUAGGAGCUCCUGCUGCAUGUUGGGGGUUGGAAAGUUUCGGCGGUUGGGGAUGGACUCGCGGCUUAUCAGCUUGUUGGUGGGGUAGUGGCUUACCAAGGCUUUGAAGGGUAGCCGGCCUGGGAGGGUGACCGGCCACAAUGGGACUGAGAGACGGCCCAGACUCCUACGGGAGGCAGCAGUGGGGAAUAUUGCACAAUGGGCGGAAGCCUGAUGCAGCAACGCCGCGUGCGGGAUGACGGCCUUCGGGUGGUAAACCACUGUCUCCGUUGACGAAGCGGGAGUGACGGUAAUGGGUAAAGAAGCACCGGCUAACUACGUG